CAGGACCUUUUCACAGUGUGAGCUGUUUUCUUUGCCAGUGGCAGACCGACAAGUCGUAGCGAAGAGGAAACCUUUGAAAUGCAGAGGAUUGCCUGGAUCAAGCAGAUGUCAAGUCCCUGCAAGUUGGUUUUCACUGGCAAACCAUUGCCUGCCAGUUCAACCUGGCCCGUAGCGCUCAACGAGGGUGCACAUUAGUACCCUUACAGGUUCUAUCUGGUGGAACGAGCUCUCUGAAGACAUCAGGACCACCGAGAGCCUUCACAUCUUCCGCCGCAAACAGCAGACACACCUCUUCAGACUCUACCUCCACUAAAAGACUAACAAAUUGUAG
ensembl:lncRNA